UCUUUGUGAAGUAUUGCUUUCCUGGAAGCUGAUGAGUGGUUUUCCUGUAUAGCUGUCUUGGGUUUCUGGAUUGUCCACCCUGCCUUUUGGAUUUUGCCUGCCUUCUGGAGCUGUAGCCCUCAGCUUUAGACUGGAAAAUAGACCCAACUAAGAGAAGCUUCUGGAGUGUCUGACUGGCGUACCCACCAGUAAAAUGAAGUCCGUGCUCGUUCUGCUGGGUGUCCUCCUGACUCUGACCGCUGUUUGUGAAGGUGGUGUGAAUGGUAAGGGGCUGCUUUUCCCAAACCCGUCGGCCAAUUCCUUCAAGCUCACCCCCCCCAAGACCCCACGGAAAAACCACACAGUCCAGUCUGGUGGUGCUGUUAUCCUGGGUCAGGAUCCAAACUGUUUCAGUGGAAAAUUUGAAGGCCAGAGUUUUGUGGGUGAGAGUUCAGACAUGAACAUGUGGGCUCAUGUGCUGAUGGGUGGUCAGAUUAGGAACAUCAGUGAUGGCGUGUGUUUUGGGACCAGAACCAAAUGUGCUUAUCUGGGACACUAUGCAGGAUGAAGUAAAUGGGAAUGUCCUUGUAGUGCCAAAGAAGUACAACUGAUAUGCAAGAAUCUGCAGUAUGGUCCUGUAAACAAAUAACAUGUGAUGUUUUCUGAAACAGACCUGUAAACAAGGAUGUAUCAGUACAUAUCACUUGCAUAUUAUCUGGCAUUACAGCAAAGUGUAUCACAACAUUGGAAAAUGACAAUAAAACUGCAUGAGCAAACAAAUGUGUAUGCUGAAUGAUAAAAAUGACAGCAGUAUGCUGUGUGGUCCCACAUU